rnacentral:rRNA from 1 species
UACGUAGGGUGCAAGCGUUAAUCGGAAUUACUGGGCGUAAAGCGUGCGCAGGCGGUUGUGCAAGUCAGAUGUGAAAGCCCCGGGCUCAACCUGGGAAUUGCAUUUGAGACUGCAUAGCUAGGGUGCGGAAGAGGGAAGCGGAAUUUCCGGUGUAGCGGUGAAAUGCGUAGAUAUCGGAAGGAACACCAGUGGCGAAAGCGGCUUCCUGGUCCAGCACCGACGUUCAGGCACGAAAGCGUGGGGAGCAAACAGG